UACGUAGGUGGCAAGCGUUAUCCGGAUUUAUUGGGCGUAAAGAGAACGCAGGCGGUCUUUUAAGUCUGAUGUGAAAGCCUUCGGCUUAACCGGAGUAGUGCAUUGGAAACUGGGAGACUUGAGUGCAGAAGAGGAGAGUGGAACUCCAUGUGUAGCAGUGAAAUGCGUAGAUAUAUGGAAGAACACCAGUGGCGAAAGCGGCUCUCUGGUCUGUAACUGACGCUGAGGUUCGAAAGCGUGGGUAGCAAACAGG
rnacentral:rRNA from 1 species